rnacentral:lncRNA from 1 species
GGUUGACCUGAGAACACACUUUGAGAUAGCCCGCUCCUAGACCUGGAAUUUCCUUUCCUUCACAUAGAGAGAAGAAGAUCACAGGGGAGAAUAGAAAAGCUAUCAAAUUGGUGGCAUUGCCAAUAAAGAUUAAGUGUUCAGAGGAGGAGUAAGUAUCUUGAAGUGGAGAUUGAAAUUGAUUCGUGGAAGAGAUGCUCUCAGCUGGAAAGAAAGGGGAUUCUCAUGGUUCAAAGUGACUACUGGAGCUUCAGCUGUUAAGUUCAUAUUCCAGCCAGUAGAAAGGAGAAGAGAAGGAGAAGGAGAAUGAUAUGCUUCCUGCCUUUAAGGAUGCUCCCUGGAAGCUGUACAAUCAACUUCUGCCUCUAACGUAUGGGCCACAGAGGUCCUUGUCUACACCAUUGGAUUUAGCUCCAAAUCCAGUCUAUCUUGCCCUGUUUACUGUGGACUCAUGCAUGCUAGUCCAACUACAUUAACCGAAAUAAAUUUAAAGUAUGUGAUAUGGGCAGCUUCAAAGGAAAAGAAGUUACCAAAAGAGAAAGAGGAAGAGACUGGAGAGAAGAUGGCGAUGGUGCAUGCUUGUGUGGCACUGUGUUUAUCUGGAGAAGCAUUAAAAAAAGAAUAUGGGAAGAAUCAGUUGAUGAGUCUGACAUGGAAAGAAGCUUCGGGAAGCAGCCAUCAACCAGAGAGGAGGGAACAAAAAUAAGGGUUUGUGGAUGAGGG